rnacentral:rRNA from 1 species
GACGAACGCUGGCGGCGUGCUUAACACAUGCAAGUCGAACGGAAAGGCCCAGCUUGCUGGGUACUCGAGUGGCGAACGGGUGAGUAACACGCGGGUGAUCUGCCCUCCACUUUGGGAUAAGCCUAGGAAACUGGGUCUAAUACCGGAUAUGAACAACUGUCGCAUGGUGGGUGGUGGAAAGCUUUUGCGGUUGUGGCUGGGCCCGCGGCCUAUCAGCUUGUUGGUGGGGUAAUGGCCUCCCAAGGCGACGACGGGUAGCCGACCUGAGAGCGUGAUCGGCCACCCUGGGCCUGAGACACGCCCCAGACUCCUACGUGCGGCAGCGGUCGGGAGUCUUGCACAACGGGCGCACGCCUGUGGCGGCGACGCCGCGUGCGUGAUGACCGCCUUCGGGUUGUAAACCUCUUUCACCAGGGACGAGGCGUGCGUGACGGUACCUGGAGAAGAAGCCCCGGCCAACUACGUG